GUGGGGAAUCUUGCGCAAUGGGCGAAAGCCUGACGCAGCCAUGCCGCGUGAAUGAUGAAGGUCUUAGGAUUGUAAAAUUCUUUCACCGGGGACGAUAAUGACGGUACCCGGAGAAGAAGCUCCGGCUAACUUCGUGCCAGCAGCCGCGGUAAUACGAAGGGGGCUAGCGUUGCUCGGAAUUACUGGGCGUAAAGGGCGCGUAGGCGGACAGCUUAGUCAGAGGUGAAAGCCCAGGGCUCAACCUUGGAAUUGCCUUUGAUACUGGCUGUCUUGAGUACGGGAGAGGUGAGUGGAACUCCGAGUGUAGAGGUGAAAUUCGUAGAUAUUCGGAAGAACACCAGUGGCGAAGGCGACUCACUGGCCCGUUACUGACGCCGAGGCGCGAAAGCGUGGGGAGCAAACAGGAUUAGAUACCCCCAGUAGUCC
rnacentral:rRNA from 1 species